AAAAAAAAAAAAAACAGGAUGUCGCCAUAGGUUUUUUAAAAAAAGGAGUAUUAUUCUAGUUUCUAGUGAUAUAAUAUAAAUAAACAAAACCACUAUUUUUUACAAAUAUACAAAAAUGAUUUAUUAUUUUAAAAAUAAAUUUUUGGGUUUCUGUGAUUUUAAAUAUUAAUUUUUAUAAAAAUUCAUAUCGAUUACCUUGUAUUCUAUUUUAAAUGUAAUGAAAAAUACAAAAACAUUGUGUUUGUUUUCCAAGUAUGUGAUUUUUCCAGCCGUUCGAUUUGUGUUUUGUCCAAAGAAGUACCGGCCGGUGGAUCUCAAAUGGAACAUACUACAUACAUAUUAAUCGGCCCUUAUUAAUUGGGCCGAUUAUAAGCUUAUUCCUAAACAAAGUUCAGGCAAAAAAUUGUCAAAUUUCCUAUCUUUUUAUCUCAAUCACGUAACGAAAGUUUCUUUGCAGCAGAAAUUUGGUGAUACUCAAUCAUCAAACGUUAUGAUGCAUGACCCCACGCUAUCAUAUUAGAUUGAUGUUAUCUUAUGAUUUGAUGAUUGUGAUUUUUGAUGCAGAGAUUGGGUGGGGUAGAUUCUAGACCUCAAGUCUCAAUGAUCUCAAUUAUUUUGACGUUAGCAUCAAAACGUUAAGAUUAUUAUUCCCACCCCUAACAAACUUUGUAAAUGAUAAAAAAUUAUAUUCCUUCCAUUUCAAAAUAUAAGUUGGUUUGGAAAAAAAUUUUGUUUCAUAAUAUAGGAUGUUUUCAAAUUUCUAUGCAACUUUUAGAUUAUUUUAAUUUAUAUAUAUAAAGUUAAUUUUACUCAUUCCUGGUGCUGCCACAUCAGCCACUCCCUCUAUUUAAUAAGGCCAAAUUUUUGACACAACCCACUAAGCAAUUCUUUUUUUUUUUUUGUGUUUCAUAUUUCUUUAAAAGCCCAAUUUCAUAUUUCUGUAAAAGCUCAAUCCAAUAAUAAUACAUGUUUUAUAUGAUGUUGAAAUAAAAUCUUUCUCCAGGAAGCUCCACUCCGCCGUCCGCCGUUGUGCGACCUGAAGCGUCCCUCAACAAUCCUCCACACCCUUUCGCUGUCUUUCCUGACUUCCAUCUCCAUCGUAACGUCUUCCUCUAAAACGAAAAGAGGAAGGCUGAAGCUAGAGGAUCUGGGUGAAAUACUCUCACUAAAUUUGGGUAUGUCUCUUUCUUAAUUAGAUUUUUGUUCGGUUCUUUACUUCUUUUAAAUCAGAUGUAUGUAUGUUUGUUUAUGUAUCAAUGUAUGAUUUAAGUAUCCCUCCUCAUAACACAUGUGUCGACGCUGUCAUACAUGGUUUGUAUAUAGUUUUGGUCUCCUACCAGAACAUAUCUGCUUUACCGUUAUAGCUCAAGUCGGGGCAACUUAUUUCAUAGUUGGUGGUUUUGUUGGUUCGCUCAGUAUAUAUUCUAUGUUGAGGCUCUAAGUAACAACUCCAAUGAGUAAUUGGCCUGCUUUUUAUAAUAAAAGUAUACUACAUCGUUCUAGGUAGCUUUUUGGGUCUUUAAAUAAUAGGUCUUCCAGUUUUUCUGUUAUGAUCUGUUAUCAAACUUCAAGCUACAUGAAUCCAUAAACAUUCAUAGCUAGAUCAGCUAUUUGUUUCCAUGUUGAACUAGAGAUUAUUUUACUCUAUGGUUAUGUCUAUGUAGAAUUUAGUUCUCCAAAGAAUACUAAAAUCGAGAUGAUAUUAUAUAUCUCGGUAUUUGAUUUUGUUUAAUUUCCAUGUACAUUAUGGUAUACAGUAGAAAGAGUUAAGAACUAUGUUAUAUCAUUUGUAUUAGUUUGGUUUUCAUUGCCUCAUUUAUAUGUUUAGACACAUCACAUAACUUUAAGAUGGGACGAAACAAUUGGCAUACGUGCAGGUUAUUCAAUGAACAUGAUCAUAUGAAUAUCAAGCUCAAGUGAAUCCUCAUGGUUUAUGGGUCGUGGUGUAAUCGAGCCUAUGCCAGGAAAGCUCAGAGUUCAUGUCAUCCAAUCAACGUUCUCAAUUAUGUAAAUUUCAUAGUUCUCUUGCCCUUUUCAUAUGACUUUCUUUAAUCCAGAAAGAAAUGAAGUGUUUCCUAAAGAAUUUUAAGUACAAGGGUCAAAAGUAAUUCAUGACCGAGAAGCGAGUCAUGUAAAGAUGGAAUUGUCUUCAUCCUUUUUAAGAAAGAUCAGGACCGGGAAGCGAGUAAAAUCACCAUUAGAUAGAUGGGCAUAUUGAAGGUUCAUGAGUUUCUUAUUUUGUUAUAUUUUCCAUAAGACAUAGUUUAAACCU